AUUCUUAGUUUUGUCAUUGUACGCACUUCGUUAAUUCAUCUAUCUUUGACGUCGUAGAUAGAUGAAUUAACGAAGUGCGUACAAUGUCAAAACUGAGAAU
rnacentral:sRNA from 1 species